UCUGGGAGGGACUGGGUGAGCUGGGAUGAAACUGGGAGGGACUGGGGUGGAACUGGGAGGGACUGGGAGGACUGGGAUGGGACUGGGAUGGGACUGGGGUGGAAAUGGGAGUGCUGGGAUGGCACUGGGAGCACUGGGAUGGGACUGGGAUGGCACUGGGCUGUUACUGGGGGCACUGGGAUGGGACUGGGAGCACUGGGCUGGUUGAUAGUGGUUCAUACUGGAUGAUACUGGUUGAUACUGGUUGGUACUGGUUCAUACUGGUUCAUACUGGUCCCCAGCUGGGCCGGCGCAUGGCGGAGCUGCCGGUGGAACCCAUGUUGGCCAAAAUGAUCCUCGCGUCCGAGCAGUGCGUCACCACUGUCACCUAUGGGUGUCACCUAUGGGUGUCCCUAUGGCUGUCCCCAUUGUCCCCUAUGGGUGUCCCCUGUGUGUCCCCUUUGUGUCCCCUCUGGGUGUCCCCAUUGUCCCCUAUGGGUGUCUCCAUUGUCCCCUAUGGGUGUCCCCUUUGUGUCCCUUUGGGUGUCCCCAUUGUCCCCUAUUGGUGUCCCCAUCCCUAUGGGUGUCUCCUAUGGGUGUCCCCUAUGGGUGUCCCUUUUGUGUCCCCUUGGGUGUCCCCAUUGUCCCCUAUUGGUGUCCCCAUCCCUAUGGGUGUCUCCUAUGGGUG
rnacentral:lncRNA from 1 species